UACGUAGGCAGCGAGCGUUGUUCGGAGUUACUGGGCGUAAAGCGUGCGUAGGCGGUGGUGCAAGUCUGGUGUGAAAUCUCCCGGCUUAACUGGGAGGGUGCGGUGGAAACUGGGGUGCUUGAGUGUGGGAGAGGUAAGCGGAAUUCCUGGUGUAGCGGUGAAAUGCGUAGAUAUCAGGAGGAACACCGGUGGUGUAGACGGCUUACUGGACCACGACUGACACUGAGGCACGAAAGCGUGGGUAGCAAACAGG
rnacentral:rRNA from 1 species